GCAGCAGCCGCGGUAAUACGAAGGGGGCUAGCGUUGUUCGGAUUUACUGGGCGUAAAGCGCACGUAGGCGGAUCGAUCAGUCAGGGGUGAAAUCCCAGAGCUCAACUCUGGAACUGCCUUCGAUACUGUCGAUCUGGAGUAUGGAAGAGGUGAGUGGAAUUCCGAGUGUAGAGGUGAAAUUCGUAGAUAUUCGGAGGAACACCAGUGGCGAAGGCGGCUCACUGGUCCAUUACUGACGCUGAGGUGCGAAAGCGUGGGGAGCAAACAGGAUUAGAUACCCCCGUAGUCCCUGUCUCUUAUAC
rnacentral:rRNA from 1 species